AGGACGAACGCUGGCGGCGCGCCUAACACAUGCAAGUCGAGCGAUAACCAGGGCUUGCCCUGGGGACAGCGGCGAACGGGUGCGUAACACGUGAGCAACCUGCCCCAAAGACCGGGACAACCCGAGGAAACUCGGACUAAUACCGGAUGCCCUCACCGGGCCGCAUGGUCUGGUGAGGAAAUGGAUUCCGCUUUGGGAUGGGCUCGCGGUCUAUCAGCUUGUUGGUGGGGUAACGGCCUACCAAGGCGACGACGGAUAGCUGGUCUGAGAGGACGAUCAGCCACACUGGGACUGAGACACGGCCCAGACUCCUACGGGAGGCAGCAGUGGGGAAUCUUGCGCAAUGGGGGAAACCCUGACGCAGCGACGCCGCGUGCGGGAUGAAGGCCUUCGGGUUGUAAACCGGCUUUCAGCAGGGACGAAAUUGACGGUACCUGCAGAAGAAGGCCGGCCAACUACGCGCCAGCAGCCGC
rnacentral:rRNA from 1 species